UACAGAGGGGGCAAGCGUUGUUCGGAAUUACUGGGCGUAAAGGGCGCGUAGGCGGCCUUCUAAGUCGAACGUGAAAUCCCCGGGCUCAACCCGGGAACUGCGUCCGAUACUGGAAGGCUUGAAUCCGGGAGAGGGAUGCGGAAUUCCAGGUGUAGCGGUGAAAUGCGUAGAUAUCAGGAGGAACACCAAUAGCGAAGGCAGCUCGCUGGGACGUUACUGACACUAAGGCGCGAAAGCGUGGGGAGCGAACAGG
rnacentral:rRNA from 1 species